GAGUGCCUGCCAGAGGCAAAGCAAACAUUAUCGCCAUGUUUUUUUUAGUUUUCUGCCACAUCACUUGCUAUUUCCCAUCGCAAGCUAAUUUCGGGACUUGGAGUUUAUUUUCAGGCGCUAUGGAUUUGUGUGAUAAUUCAUCUUGCUGUCAUCACGGACUUGGCUUGCGCUCGCGCAGCUUCCAGAUUUUGCAGGAUCUCAGGAGGAUUGAUGUAACGUUGUUCUGAUUCCUUCAUAAUAACAUUCCCCCGAAGAAACCCGUACGGCACAGAAGGCAGCGCAGUGAAGUCCGAAGCUCGGUCCGAAGAAUGGCCAUAUCUUUGUAGACGAACAAAUAAAUGAAGAACACAAUACGCAAAUAAAAUGU